GGUGGUGGCGCGUGCGCGCGCGGGCGGUGGCGGGGCUCGCUUGAAGCGACGCGACUGGCCUUGUGGAAGCGCUGCCGCCGUCUCUUUGUUCUUUCGCUGAACACACGGCGCCUCUCAGGAAGGCGGUGUGCAGGUUUAAGGUUCUCCAACUAAGUCAGACACUGCCACCUGACUUGACAUUGCAAUAAAAUGAUAGUCACUUCAUGGAAGCCACCACUAAAUAUACCAAUUACCAGAAUUUUGGGGGCUGUCCAGAGCUCCUGAAACCCAUCUGUGGGUGACUGACUACAUGAAGAAGGCCGGCCUAAAGUCAGCUCAGUCUUUCAACCUGGACUUCCACAGUAUACAGCUCCUGGGUUCUGCUCUGCUUUUUCCAGUUAGUUGUGUUGUGAGUCUGUUGGUUGCUGAUUCUAUAUGUGGUAGUAUAAUUCCUUCUCUCUGUAACUGAGCUUGUAACUGAAAAAAAUGACAUGACAAUGCCUAAAAUCAUACAACAAGAAAAAUGGAAUUUUCACUAUUUUCAUGGUUCAUUAUGUUGAAAAUAAAAAGACCAAAAGUUAAAGACUGAGUUCCUAUUUCAAAGCAUUGUCAAUGUCAAACAUCUAAUUGCAAAAUACUAUAUACAGGAAACUGCAGGGGUCUAAUUUCUACUGACAAAGAAUUUAUAAUCUGAGACAAUCUAGUGAUAACCUCACAGGUUAUCAAAUGGGGACAGGGCAGCAGAUAAUAUUAAGUUAUUAAAUAAGGUAAGAUGACUUUUAGAAGUGUAAACUAUUUUGAAAAUGCAAAGUUCUGAAAUAAGUCCAAACUCCAUAUUCUAACAAGUAAAAUCAGAGAUUGCCAAUGUCUCAAAUUAUGUCUGCUAAACAGAUAGUGCACACACUUUGAUUAUGAAGUAAUGACAUUGAUUCUGAGGCAUGACUUGCAGAAAUCUGGGUCCUUCCUUUGCAGACACGCUUGGUAAUGUGAGACAAAUUUCUGGCAGCAGAGUGAUGAUUCAAAAUUCAUUCUUAGGCAGACAAAAAAGUAUAUAAAGGGAAUAGAACAAAAAUUGUGGGAAAUAUGUAAAAAUAAUUUUUUUGACUGGAGUAGGAGAAUUUGCUUUUCCAUUUUAUUUCCUUGACAGUCCAGUAAAGCAGUAUCACGUGCAAUUUUGUGCUUUUUUAAAUAUCUAAGCUUCUGGUUCAACUCUUCACAUUUCUUGUCUAACAACAGACAUUCUCCAUGGCUCCUUUUCUUGCUUUCUGCUGAAUUCUGUACUUUGUACUAUUAAUAGUUUUGAUUUUGUGAAGACCUGAAUCAUUCUGUAAGCAGUUAUGAAAUAUCUCCCGUGGCUUUCUGGCCCGGGGCAGACGGGAAAAUUAACUCAAAAGAGAAAAGAGCACCCUAAACUGCCUUUUCUCGGGCAGACAGCCAUCGAUGUGAUUUCAGUGAAAACCAUCAAGCUGAAACAUCAA
rnacentral:lncRNA from 1 species